GAUGAAGAACGCAGCGAAAUGCGAUAAGUAAUGCGAAUUGCAGAAUUCAGUGAGUCAUCGAAUCUUUGAACGCACAUUGCGCCCGCCAGUAUUCUGGCGGGCAUGCCUGUCUGAGCGUCAUUUCAACCCUCAUGCCCCUAGGGCGUGGUGUUGGGGAUCGGCCAAAGCCCGCGAGGGACGGCCGGCCCCUAAAUCUAGUGGCGGACCCGUCGUGGCCUCCUCUGCGAAGUAGUGAUAUUCCGCAUCGGAGAGCGACGAGCCCCUGCCGUUAAACCCCCAACUUUCCAAGGUUGACCUCAGAUCAGGUAGGAAUACCCGCUGAACUUAAGCAUAUCAAUAAGCGGAGGA
rnacentral:misc_RNA from 1 species